rnacentral:rRNA from 1 species
CCUACGGGAGGCAGCAGUGGGGAAUAUUGGACAAUGGGCGAAAGCCUGAUCCAGCAAUGCCGCGUGAGUGAUGAAGGCCUUCGGGUCGUAAAGCUCUUUUACCAGGGAUGAUAAUGACAGUACCUGGAGAAUAAGCUCCGGCUAACUCCGUGCCAGCAGCCGCGGUAAUACGGAGGGAGCUAGCGUUGUUCGGAAUUACUGGGCGUAAAGAGUACGUAGGCGGUUAUUCAAGUCAGAGGUGAAAGCCCGGGGCUCAACCCCGGAACUGCCUUUGAAACUAGAUAACUAGAGUCUUGGAGAGGUUAGUGGAAUUCCGAGUGUAGAGGUGAAAUUCGUAGAUAUUCGGAAGAACACCAGUGGCGAAGGCGACUAACUGGACAAGUACUGACGCUGAGGUACGAAAGCGUGGGGAGCAAACAGGAUUAGAUACCCUGGUAGUCCACGCCGUAAACGAUGAUAACUAGUUGUUCGGUCACUUGGUGACUGAGUGACGCAGCUAACGCAUUAAGUUAUCCGCCUGGGGAGUACGGUCGCAAGAUUAAAACUCAAAGAUAUAGCGNGNGAGAGCGACGACGACGACGACGAGGAGAG